UCCUGGCUCAGGAUGAACGCUGGCGGCGUGCCUAACACAUGCAAGUCGAGCGAGAAACUCAUGACCAAUACUCGGUAGCGUGAUUGAGCGGAAAGCGGCGGACGGGUGAGUAACGCGUAGGCAACCUGCCCCUUGCAGAGGGAUAGCCUCGGGAAACCGGGAUUAAAAACCUCAUAAUGCGUAACGGAGACAUCUCCGAUACGCCAAAGAUUUAUCGGCAAGGGAUGGGCCUGCGUCUGAUUAGUUAGUUGUGGGGUAACGGCCUACCAAGGCAGCGAUCAGUAGCCGACCUGAGAGGGUGAUCGGCCACAUUGGAACUGAGACACGGUCCAAACUCCUACGGGAGGCAGCAGUGGGGAAUAUUGCACAAUGGGCGAAAGCCCUGAUGCAGCAACGCCGCGCGAAGGAUGAAGGCCCUUGGGUCGUAAACUUCUGUUCUAAGGGAAGAUAAUGACGGUACCUUAGGAGCAAGUCCCGGCUAACUACGUGCCAGCCGCCGC
rnacentral:rRNA from 1 species